UGCGGCUCUGUUGGUUGGGGCAUCGUCCUGAGCACCAAAGGGGGUGGGUUUGCUUCCUGGCCAGUGCACAUACCCAGGUUAUGGACUCA